rnacentral:rRNA from 1 species
GUGUCAGCAGCCGCGGUAAUACGUAGGUGGCAAGCGUUGUCCGGAAUCACUGGGCGUAAAGCGCGCGCAGGCGGCCGUUUAAGUCUGGGGUGAAAGCCCGGAGCUCAACUUCGGGAUUGCCUUGGAUACUGGGUGGCUUGAGCAUCGGAGAGGCAAGGGGAAUUCCACGUGUAGCGGUGGAAUGCGUAGAGAUCCGGAAGAACACCGGUGGCGAAGGCGGCCUGCUGGGGUGGAGCUGACGCUGAGGCGCGACAGCGUGGGGAGCAAACAGGAUUAGAUACCCUGGUAGUCCACGCCGUAAACGAUGGGUACUAGGUGCUUGGGGGAGCGACCCCUUGAGUGCCGGCGCUAACGCAUUAAGUACCCCGCCUGGGGAGUACGGCCGCAAGGCUGAAACUCAAAGGAAUUGACGG